UAAGGAACAGUGUGGAUCUCAUAACAGCCUACAGAGCCCAUUCUGGCCAUUAGCUCUUGCUCCUCGCAGGCCCCCUGUGAGUCUUUAUUGCUACCUCCAGGUUGCGGGGGGGAGGGGAAUGAGCAAAGUUCUGGGAGCAAGAGGCCUCUGCUGGGCGUGGCAGAGCAGGUCCCCAUGCCAGGGCCGUGAGUCGCCUCCCAGGAUGCCGGCUCCCAUCCCGUGGUCUUUCCAUGGUGUGUUGCCAGCCAGUUGGAGGAAGAUGAGAAAACGGAGGCACGAAGGACAUUAAAAUCUUUGCCCAAGGUUACAGAGCAGCCCACAUCCAGUCCAUGAGGAAAUCUCAUUCGUUCUGCCUUCAAAACAGAUCCAGAAUCCAGCCGCUCCCCAGCACCCCCACGGCAUCUACCCUGGUCUGAGCUGCCUCGUUUCUCGCCCGGAUCAUUGUAACAGCAUCCUAACUGGUCUCCCGCCCUCGCUCCCUUGACACACAGCCAGGGCGAUCCUCUUACAGUCUCUUUUCUUCCUGAGAGUUCAGAGGGCUGCACAUCCACGACCUCGUUCAUCCACGAGACCUCCCUCUGGGAUGGGGGGCAGGACCACCAUGCGCAGAUGUUCUGAAACUGCUCCGUCAUUGCCCUCCCCUCCACCGCCUUCCUUCUUCAGUCUCUAUUACGUCCCCUUUCUUCUCUCAAUUUAAUUCAGCAAAGGCUUAAGAGGCUCCUCCCUGGUACAAGGACUGGGCAUUCAGGAAGCUUCUAGAUUUCCCCAGGGCCAAAGUCAUUUCCUGUCUUCUAUGGUUUCAGAGCACUUUCUUCCUACCCGCGUUUAUACACACACAUACCGGAUUGUUUCUGUAUCUACAAUCCUGGAGGGUGGGGCUGGGUCUUACUUAAGCUUGCAUUCCCCCCCUAGUGCCUAGGCCAGGGCCUGGCAUUUGGGAGUCUGGAGAAACGCUUGCCCAGGGCAAAGGUACCCCUGACUGUGCCAGUUACCCGGAGGAAGAGCCCAGAGGGGUUCUGUAUACACAGCACCUGGCACAUAGGAGCUACUCAAUGUCUGCUAAAUGGAUCAAGAAAAAAACGAAGGAAGGAAGAUGAGGGCAGAUAGUGAUGGGCCAGCCUUGCCUUUAAAGAGCUCCUGAUCCAUUGCAUGGGUGGGGGAGGUGGGCACAGAUCAGCACUGGAGAGGUGUGCAAAAUACGACUGAAGUAGACAAUUCCAUCAGAGCAGUGUUGAGGAAGUACCGUGGGGCCACAGAGGAGUUCAGACUCACCUGGGAGAAGCAGGGACGGCUCCCUGGAAGAAGUGGCAUUUGAGGUGGGCUUUGAAGGGUGGAAACACAUGGCAGAAACUCAGGCACAGUUUUUAGCUGAAGGUAGGCAUCAGGCAAGACAAGGAGGGCAGAGUCCUCAUCCUCGGGAGGACUGUGUUUCAGGCAGAGUUUCUUGUACCUGACUCCACAGGCAGUGUGGAGCCAUCGAAGGCCUUGGGGCUGGGGAGCUGGGGAGCAGCAUGACCAGAUCUUGUCGCAGAAAAUCACAGUGAGGGAGGGCAUUGGACUGGAAUGAAGGAGAAGAAGGCAACAGAAGCUGCUGCUGAGGAGCAGGGUGAGAGGGUUGUGAAUGUCUGACUUAGGGAGGCAGCUGCCAAGUUUGCGAUGGGGGUGUGAGAGGCUCCACAGAGAAAGGGUCUGAAGGAUCUGGAAACCGAUUCAAUGUGGGGGAGGAGCAGCAGGACGCUCAGGGGAACUGAUCUGAGGCCUGGGAGCGUAAGGAGGCCUUGAUAGGCACGGAGUCAUCCCAGGCAGGGGCUGCUUCCAAGGAAGGUAAUGAGUUCAGCCCACCUGGAUGGAGAUGCUUCAUGAAGAGGGCAGAUGCCAGCUUGGGAGGGAGGUCGGAGCCCCCGGGACAGAGUUGGGAGUUGGGCGGAAGUAAAAGCUGAGGCCGUGGGAGUGGAUGAGCUCACACAGGAGAGAGUGUGGGAUGAGAAAGAAGAUGGCGGCUGAGGACAGAGCCUUCGGGGAUGCACACAUUUGAGCGGGGCGGGAGCAGGAAGAAAGGGGAUCCAGGCGGAAAUGGACCAGCCAGAGAGGUGGGGGGUGGUCCCUCAUCUUCUCCCUCUUUUCCUCUGCUGCCCCACCUCUGCUCCACCCCCCAUCUCCCAUGAGCCGGGGCAGACUGGGCAGAAGAGCAGACCCUGGAGCCUGGCCAGCCUCCAAAAAGCUCCAAGAUGAAAGGUAGAGAAGCCCAGUGGUUGAACGCUUGGGCUUUAGAACUCGUCAGAGCUGGGUGCGACUUCCACCUGCCCCCUCCCUCACCCUUCCUGGCUGUGUGACCUCAGGCAAGCCACACCCCCUCUGAUCUGAUCCUCAGCCUCCUCACCUUCCCGAGGGGAUCACAAUGGGGCUUCUUCAUCGGGCUGCUGUGACUAUUAAGUGGGAUAAUGCGUGUUAUGCACUUGGCAUUCGGGCCCGGCAAGCCCUCAGAGCUCAAUAAACAGUGGCUGCUGCUCUUAUGAUUA